AGCCACCUUCCUUACCAUGAGCUGUCCCCACUGCCCUGGGUGCCAGGCCACCAGGGAGCCAGGCCUGUGUGGAAGCAGCCCUGCCUGGGACGUGCACCAUCGCCUCCCCCAGCCUCCCUCCAUGCCACCAUCCCUUCCUUCCACCCUGUCCACCUCCUUCCUCCUCAGCGCACUGGCCGCUGCCAGCUGGCACUCAGCAGUUUAGGCCUGUCCCAUGGGACCUGGUGGAGCCUGGGCAGCACUGGGCAGAAGUGGGCUGGUGUGGAAAAUGCUCCGUCUGGGACCCAACCCCCACUCCUCCUCCUCCCAGGACCCCAGGCUGGGCCUGCUCCGAGCUCCCAGAGUGCAGGGGCCAGUCUUGCUGCGUGGAACCUGCCCCAGGGCUGCUCCCAGGUCUUUGCCUCCCAGAGGGACCUUUUGUCUCUGGGGUUUGUGAGCGUUUGGGGCUGGGAGUGGCAGGUACUGUCCUCGGGACACAUUGGUGGGCUCCUGGGCAGCAGCAGCCCUCCAGGGAGCCUAACCAGGCCGAGCCCCAGGUGGCAGGUUGCUGCACUGCAGCCAGCAUAUGGGACACGUGCCUUCAGGGGUCCUCUGGGGCCAUCUUCCUCAGGCCAGUGCUUGGUUCAAAGGGCUGUGGGCUCUGUGCCGCUCCAGGCCGGCGGGGUAUGUGCAUGUGUUUGCGUGCGUGUGCGUGUGCGUGUGCGUGUAUCUUCUCUUGCGUGUGCUGUGAAUAAGACCUGUCUACCUCCCAGGAGGAGCAAGGGCCUGCCCUCCCCUCUUGGCUCAUUCUUAUCUAGGAAGUUGGACUUGGGGUCGCUUCUGCGCAGCCCUCCGGCCCCUGCCUCGGGCCUCGCUGACGGGCUUUGUUCACUGCAGGAGGAGGGCUGGCUGUGUGUCGAGGAAGGUUGCACCUCCACACUGAGGAAAUGGGCUGGGUGUUGGGCGGGCUGUAGAGUUGGACACAGAUGGAAGGGCCCUCCAGCCCCUCCAUCACAGGCCAGAGUGGGCAGGUCACUCGCCCAGCUUCCCAGUGAGUAUAGUCAAGCAGUCCUGAGCUGGGACCCAGUCUCCCACUGGGGGGUCCCGGCUUGCAAGGAACAUCUGUCCAGGUGGCGGAAGGGGCUGAACCAGCCGGGCUGCCAGGGCCCACUCCUACCUCCGUGGGUCUGGACUCAGUCCUCUGGUCCCCAUUCUCGGGAUUGA
rnacentral:lncRNA from 1 species